UACGGAGGAUGCGAGCGUUAUCCGGAUUUAUUGGGUUUAAAGGGUGCGUAGGCGGGAUGCCAAGUCAGCGGUAAAAAUGCGGUGCUCAACGCCGUCGAGCCGUUGAAACUGGCGUUCUUGAGUGGGCGAGAAGUAUGCGGAAUGCGUGGUGUAGCGGUGAAAUGCAUAGAUAACACGCAGAACUCCGAUUGCGAAGGCAGCAUACCGGCGCCCUACUGACGCUGAGGCACGAAAGCGUGGGUAUCGAACAGG
rnacentral:rRNA from 1 species